GCUGACUGUGGCUCAGAUCAUGAACUCCUUAUUACCAAAUUCAGACUUAAAUUGAAGAAAGUAGGGAAAACCGCUAGACCAUUCAGGUAUGACCUAAAUCAAAUCCCUUAUGAUUAUACAGUGGAAGUGAGAAAUAGAUUUAAGGGUCUAGAUCUGAUAGAUAGAGUGCCUGAUGAACUAUGCGAUGAGGUUCGUGACAUUGUACAGGAGACAGGGAUCAAGACCAUCCCCAUGGAAAAGAAAUGCAAAAAAGCAAAAUGGCUGUCUGGGAGGCCUUACAAAUAGCUGCAAAAAGAAGGGAAGUGAAAAGCAAAGGGGAAAAGGAAAGAUAUACCCAUUUGAAUGCAGAGUUCCAAAGAAGAGCAAGGAGAGAUAAGAAAGCCUUCCUCAGCAAUCAAUGCAAAGAAAUAGAGGAAAAGAACAGAAUGGGAAAGACUAGAGAUCUCGUCAAGAAAAUUAGAGAUACCAAGGGAACAUUUCAUGCAAAGAUGGGCUCAAUAAAGGACAGAAAUGGUCUGGACCUACAGAAGCAGAAGAUAUUAAGAAGAGGUGGCAAGAAUACACAGAAGAACUGUAAAAAAAGGAUCUUCAUGACCCAGAUAAUCAUGAUGGUGUGAUCACUCAUCUAGAGCCAGACAUCCUGGAAUGUGAAGUCAAGUGGGCCCUAGAAAGCAUCACUAUGAACAAAGCUAGUGGAGGUGAUGGAAUUCCAGUGGAGCUGUUUCAAAUCCUGAAAGAUGAUGCUGUGAAAGUGCUGCACUCAAUAUGCCAGCAAAUUGGGAAAACUCAGCAGUGGCCACAGGACAGGAAAAGGUCAGUUUUCAUUCCAAUUCCAAAAAAAGGCAAUGCCAAAGAAUGCUCAAACUGCCGCACAAUUGCACUCAUCUCACACGCUAGUGAAGUAAUGCUCAAAACUCUCCAAGCCACAUUACCGACUGAGGUCCGUCUAGUCAAGGCUAUGGUUUCUCCUGUGGUCAUGUAUGGAUGUGAGAGUUGGACUGUGAAGAAGGCUGAGCGCUGAAGAAUUGAUGCUUUUGAACUGUGGUAUUGGAGAAGACUCUUGCGAGUCCCUUGGACUGCAAGGAGAUCCAACCAGUCCAUUCUGCAGGAGAUCAACCCUGGGAUUUCUUUGGAAGGAAUGAUACUAAAGCUGAAGCUCCAAUACUUUGGCCACCUCAUGCGAAGAGUUGACUCAUUGGAAAAGACUCUGAUGUUGGGAGGGAUUGGGGGCAGGAGGAGAAGGCGACGACUGCCGGGGUCCAGCCCCGGUGGAUCCAGGGUGAUUCGAAGGUGGGGACGGAAUCG
ensembl:lncRNA